rnacentral:lncRNA from 1 species
UCCGACGAGACGCCGAUGGUGCAAGACCUGGCUUCGGCCGGCGUCGAGGAGCCGUCGAGCCGGUACUUAGUGCACGAGCAAGACCGUCAUGGCGACCUGCUGGCUGCUGACAAAAUGCCGGAGCACAUCCCUCUCAUUGACCUUAGCCGGCUCAUGGACGCCGACGAGGCUGACAAGCUCCGGGCGGCUCUACAGACCUGGGGCUUCUUCCUGGUGAGCGAGCAUCUAUGCAUGUGUGCACCUUAAUUACUCUUCCCUCCGUUCACAAGUAUAAGAUGUUCUAACCUUUUUGUGAAUUGGAUACAUAUAGGCAUGUUUAUGUUUUAGUGUGGUUGUUCAUCCAUUUCAGGCCGAGUGUAGUCCAUAUUAAAAUAUCCAAAACAUCUUAUAUUUGUAACGAAGGGAGUACUAGCUUGUAAAGUUAUUGGACUCUUACUGAAACUGUUUAACUUGUCCAGGCCACCAAUCAUGGGAUCGAGGAUUCUCUCAUGGAUGCAAUGAUGACCGCGUCAAGGGAGUUUUUCCGUCAACCGUCCGAAGAGAAGCAGAAAUGCAGCAACCUGGUGGACGGCAACGACAAGCAUUACCAGGUGGAAGGGUAUGGCAGUGACAGAGUGGUUUCCGAGGAUCAGGGCCUGAAUUGGAACGACCGGUUGCAUCUGAAGAGUGGAGCCGGAAGAUGAGAGGAAUUUUGCUAAGUGGCCCAGUCACCCGGAAUCUUUCAGGUUCCCUACUCCCUUACCUUGAGUGAUGUUUUUCACAUUUCUAAUACUGUAUUAGCUUAGUUGUAAAGGAAGGCAGAGUGAGAAUUCCAGAAAAGUAUCAAUGUAAACUGCACUCUGGGUAGUCAAUUGUCUCGUAGCAUUGCGCGUCUCUCUUGCUAGUGGGCCAGUAUUACCAUAUCAUUUCCUAUAAUUAAGUAAGGCUGAAAGUUAACUAAUUUUGAUACAAUUUUCCUUUGUGAAUGCAGACUUUUGAGAACUUCUCUUAAUGACGUAGUUUUCUCGAUGUUGUUUUGUGAAUUUAUUGAUUAAUUACUUUCUUUAUAAGAGAUUCAGUCUGGAGGUGAUUACCCUCUUUUAAAAAAAAAGAUAUUCAGAGACAAUUCAUAGAUAGAAACUUAAUAAAGAGACCAAAAUCUUUGAUUUGACUAAACUAUUAUAGAAUCUUUCUGCAGGAAUAUGCUAAAUGAGUAUGCAUCGAAAACCAAGAAACUAAGAGACAUUGUCUUGCGAUCAAUAGCCAAGCUCUUGGAGAUUGAUGAGGAUUACUUCGUCAACCAGAUAUCAAACAAGGCUUCCGGGUUUGCCAGACUCUACUACUAUCCUCCACGUCCGAGGCCUGACCUAGUUUUGGGCCUCAGGCCUCACUCUGAUGGAAAUCUCCUUACUAUCCUUUUUGUCGACGACGAUGUUGGUGGCUUGCAAGUUCAGAGAGAUGGGAAAUGGUACAAUGUUCCAGCCAAGCCUCACACACUGGUGAUCAACUUGGGAGACUGCCUGGAGGUAGGCACCUACACAUACAAGCUAGAUACGCACUUCCUCUCUUGAAUGGUCUAUAAUGAUCAUUGUUAUAUCCUAUUUCCUGAAUCCUAAUGUUUCAUUGACUCCUAUGUGAAAUUUUGACGCAGAUAAUGAACAACGGAAUCUUUAGGAGCCCGGUUCACAGAGUGGUGACAAACACCGAGAAGGAGAGGCUUUCGCUGGCCGUGUUCUAUGCCGUGGAUGAAGAAACAGUGCUGGAGCCAGCACCCGGUUUGCUGGAUGACAAGCGACCGCCAAGAUAUAGGAAAAUGAUGACCAAGCAUUUCGUGGCUGGGCUCUAUGAACAUUUCCGUCAAGGGAAGAGAUUCAUCGACACCCUGAAGAUAUAGAUUAUACAUGUUAGUUCAUGGAGUUGUAGUAGUGAUUACCUAUGUAGAAUAAAGUUUUACCGAUAUGUAAAAGAGGAGCGCCAGCGCCAUGCCUCUUUCACCGAAUCUUGAGUUGUAGUUUGUCAGUUAGCUGCCGCAGUUAAAACUUUUACAUGGUUAAUUUUUUUUGAGAAGGAGGAUGUACCCCGGUCUCUGCAUCUGAACGAUGUAUGCAGUCAUAUUAUUAAUUAUUCACAAAAAGCUUAGAAGGUGAUACAUUAGUAAGGCUGAAACCACCAUCUUGGUAACACCAUUGCUACUCCUAUCCCCUUGAUGAAGGCGUGACGAAUGUCCGGGCCUAAUACCAAAUAGACAUCGCACAGAAGCCUAACAUCUAAAGCCGGGUGUCCAAUCCAAGCCACUACCUGGAUUGGGUCCCACACCGGUUUGGCACACUCCUAGUGAGCACCGCACGCUGCAAGGACCGUCACCUCCAUCUUCCCUUGGUCCAUCCUCAGAGCAUAACUGAUGCACCAACCUUGCUAGGCCUCUCUGCCAUCAACGCCACCAUGACGCCAGACAGCUUCCUUCUCCUGCGCGAGUCCAUCUCCGCGCAUCAAACACCGAGUCUCCACGGCGCCACGGCACCGAGAACUGCCACCAUCAAUGUGGAAGAUGAAGCACCGCUCCACCAAAGGCGCCGUCCUCCGGUCCCUCGAGCCCGUGUGCACCUCCAAGAAUGACGCCACCAAGGGGGAAAUGACACCAGAGAGCCGCCGUCAUCCGAUCUACUGAUCUAGGGUUUCCCCCGGAGGUAGCAGAGAGUGGCCUUGAACUUCUCUACGGUGAUGCCUUCAAGAAGGGAAUGACGCAGACAGCGUCGCCAUCGACGGCCUUGGCAAUAGUCAAUAGCAGGUUUUCACCCAGAUCUGAUCGAAGACCUCCAUCUCUCGUGCACGGGCUGCCGCCAUCCCUGUCGGGAUCUCAACGAAGACUCCAAGGAGUGGAUCGGCGCCGCGGCGUAGUCGUCGUCGUGGCUGCCGUCGCCGGCUAAGUGUUUCCCCCAAUCCCAAGAGCCCCACCAUCCAAUCACCGCCCACCACCCGGAUUCAGCGAGCAAGGCCACACUGAAGCCCAGAUCGAGCGGGAUAAGGUGAAGGAGAUGAAGCCGGCGCAGGUCGAUCCAGAUCUGGCGGCCGGCCGACGGAAAUCACGGCCGCCAUGAGAUCCCACCACCGGGUCCUCGCCACCCAUGCAAGCCGAGGAAGACCGGCCACACCCCUGCAGCCACCCUCCAUCAGGGAAGGCGCCGCCCACCUUGACCGGGCCGCCACCACGGCACACCAAGCUCUCCGCGCGAGGCAGCAGCAGCCAGCCCCGCCGCCACCUUUCUCGAUGUUGCGCGGGCUUGCCGACGGCUAUCUCUGGUGGCGGCGAGAUCUGAAGGGAGGGGGAAGGGGGCCGGCGGCGCUCUAGGGUUGGGGCCGCCCGAGUCGCCCGAGAGGAGCGACGCGGGGCGGGGCUAAUCCAGCUUGGUGCUUUCAAAAUGAAGAAGAAUUAAAAUUGUUUCAUGUCCCCACAGCUUUGAGAUCGGUGAAGGAUUAUUCCAUCCUAUUCCACUUGUUCCACUGCUUGGCAAGAUAUGCAAGAUUCGGUGUUCUGUAUUUUGAGCUGUAGCUUGUCAGUUAGCUGCUGCAGUUAAAACUCUAGAAUGCGCCAUCUUUGUGCUCCUCAAUCUUCAUGUAGCAGUACUUUAAUCUGUUGGAAUGGCAGCGUUGUCGCAGCGUUACGUUUUUCCUUGUAAAUUGUAAAUAUCCUCUUACUUGCUGAUAUUAACGGGUAUCCCUUUAGGCUUGAAGAUUACUAAAUGAUUAUUGUGCUGAAGUCACGAGAAAACCUGAUUAUGAACAGAAAUCAACUGGAAUUGGGCCAGGAGACUGUCAGUCGCUUCGCAAAAAUAUUCUUUCUCAAAUUUGACUUGUCAGCCACUGUGAAUCUGGACAAUGGUCCAGUUUUUGUCAAUCCUUUUCCCAUCAAUUCAGCUCAGCCUGCCCGGUGGUCACUGGUGCUAUUGUUUUUUUUUCGAAACGGGUCACUGGUGCUAUUGUUGAUCAUGUGAUACAAGAUAAUAGGCUAUUAGUAGUACUCACAGCUCAGCCUGCCCGGUGGCCACUGGUGCUAUUGUUUUUUUUUUUUUUGAAAGAUCCGGGGUAACCGGCUUCAUUGAUUUAGGAGAAAGCAGCGGGAGAACAGGGAGAUCAAGUGAUCAUCGUUACAAGAGAGAAACGAAAGGAAAAACACGGAAACAGUUGGCCCAAGAUACAAGAUACUAGUAAUAGGCUAUUGGUAGUACUCAGUCUGACUGGAGGAUGACACAGCUGAAAAUUUAUGGGUAGCUCAGUGGCAAUCUUGACUGGAGUAUGAUACGAUUGCGACUGACAAAGAAGAGUCGCAUCGAGUGCGUCAUGCAUGAUGUCGCCCAGAAAAUGAUUGGGGGCACGUUUUUUCCUUUGAGGAGGAUUAAAACAAAUUUUGAAGAGGAAUAUCGAGGCACACUCGAGGCUAUACAUAACGGCCCCUCCAUCUUCAACUUCAAGUGAGCAGUAGUACACAAACACUUACCAAAGAGCAGAAUGGCUGCGUCCGACGAGUCGCCGAUGGUGCGGCCGACGGUGCAGGAGCUGGCAUCGGCCGGCGUCGAGGAGCCGCCGCGGCAGUACGUGCUGCCGGAGCAAGACCGUCACGGCGACCUGCUGGCCGCCGACGAGUUUCCGGAGCCCAUCCCCCUCAUCGAUCUUAGCCGGCUCACGGACGCCGACGAGGCCGAGAGGCUCCGGGCGGCUCUGCAGACCUGGGGCUUCUUCCUGGUGAGCGAGC